GUUCAGGUUCCUUCUUCACCUCUGGGUCCCUUUAAGGUCUCCAGCCUGGGCCCUGUCUCUCUGAGCCUUGGCCACUUCAUGGCCUGACAAAAAGAAGGGCAAGUGUGCUCUGUGGGCUGCUGGUCAUCUCCGUUCUCUGGGGGAUUGAUUUACCCCUCUUCUGUUUUCAGGAUGCCCCUUCUAGGUGCCCUCUCUGCUCCAAAGUCUGGAUUCUUGUCCCAGAAUUCAAAUGGAGGUGAGCUGAAGAUGACCAUACACACCUACAUACAAGCUUUUCCAAGAGCAGAGUCGCAGGAAGCAGUCACAUGUACUUUGGAUUUCCCACUCCUCAGGAAGGAAACAGUCACUAGUUGAACACUGGCCACUAUUUGAGUGUUUGCUGAAUGAUGGAACACCUCCAUCGAGAAGAAUUUGCAGAAAGCGGCUGACACAUGAUAAUCACUUGACCACAGAAAAGCACACAGAUGUGUAAGUUAUUCUUUAACUAUAUAUUUAAAUUCUCCCUCUUUCUCUGAAUUCACACUGGUUAUGAGAUGUACCUUGUAGAAGAAAUAAAUCACAAUUGUCUUUUCACUGGGGGAAAUUUUAUGGCUUUGAUUAGCCAUAACUUUAAGUUACAAAAGAAAAAAGAAACCAAGAUUAAUUUAUAUCUACAUUGACAAAAAGGUGCUACAUACAUUUACUAUUUUUCAAUAUGUACAAAUAAUGUUUCUCACUGGGGAAAUAAGUCGAAUAAAUGUUUAAGACUAUAAGUCAGUGUCAAAGCACUUGCUUUUAUCAUCAAAACCACAGAAGAAUGCCAACUGUUUAGACACAGAAGAUAUAUAUGUCUAUAUGUGUGUAUGUAUCACUAUGAUACUGUACGUGUCAUGGUUUCUUUAUCUCAAAUGUUAUCACUCCAUAUACAAAUACAUCAAGGUUCAGUUCUCUGUAUCUUAGAGAUGAAUUGGGAAUACUUUGGAUUUAAGAGAUUCUAAAAGUGAUGGAUAUAGAGGGAUUGUGGCUAGAAAAUUCCAGAAACGCCUAUUGAAAACAUUAAGCCACAUUGUUAUCUUCUUUUCACCAUACAUGUGUGAUUAUAAUUUUGGUUCUCAUUUCUUAACAAUUAAGCUUCUAAUUUGUUAAAAGAGAAAGCAGGUGGGCUGGAGAGAUGGCUCAGCAUUAAGAGCACUGACUGCUCUU
rnacentral:sRNA from 1 species